rnacentral:rRNA from 1 species
UACAGAGGUCCCAAGCGUUGUUCGGAUUCAUUGGGCGUAAAGGGUGCGUAGGCGGUGGGGUAAGUUGGAUGUGAAAUCUUGGGGCUUAACCUCAAAAUUGCAUUCAAUACUGCUCCGCUCGAGUUCUGUAGAGGAGAUUGGAAUUUACGGUGUAGCAGUGAAAUGCGUAGAUAUCGUAAGGAACGCCAGUGGCGAAAGCGAAUCUCCGGGCAGCAACUGACGCUGAGGCACGAAGGCCAGGGGAGCAAACGGG